rnacentral:rRNA from 1 species
UACAGAGGGUGCGAGCGUUAAUCGGAAUUACUGGGCGUAAAGCGCGCGUAGGUGGUUCGUUAAGUUGGAUGUGAAAUCCCCGGGCUCAACCUGGGAACUGCAUUCAAAACUGUCGAGCUAGAGUAUGGUAGAGGGUGGUGGAAUUUCCUGUGUAGCGGUGAAAUGCGCAGAUAUAGGAAGGAACACCAGUGGCGAAGGCGACCACCUGGACUGAUACUGACACUGAGGUGCGAAAGCGUGGGGAGCAAACAGG